AAAUUUUUAGUUUAAAAAAAAUUUUAAAUUGCAAAUUUAAAGAUAUAAAAUUAUAAAAUUUU
rnacentral:tRNA from 1 species